AUUGAACGCUGGCGGAAUGCUUUACACAUGCAAGUCGAACGGCAGCACGGACUUCGGUCUGGUGGCGAGUGGCGAACGGGUGAGUAAUGUAUCGGAACGUGCCCAGUCGUGGGGGAUAACGUAGUGAAAAUUACGCUAAUACCGCAUACGAUCUAUGGAUGAAAGCGGGGGAUCGCAAGACCUCGCGCGAUUGGAGCGGCCGAUAUCAGAUUAGGUAGUUGGUGGGGUAAAGGCCCACCAAGGCAACGAUCUGUAGCCGGUCUGAGAGGACGACCAGGCACCCUGGAACGGCUACGCGGUCCUGACGCCGACGGGAGGCAGCAGUGGGGAAUUUUGGACAAGGGGCGAAAUCCUGAGCCGGCCAUUCCGCGUGCAGGAUGAAGGCCAUCGGUUUGUAAACUGCUUUUGUACAGAACGAAAAGGUUUCUACUAAUACUAGGAGCUCAUGACGGUACUGUAAGAAUAAGCACCGGCUAACUACGUGCCAGCAGCCGCCGUAA
rnacentral:rRNA from 1 species